UUGCAGAGGGGGAGGGAGGAAGAUUGGGAGGAGGCAGCCUCACCCCCUCAACACCCAACCCCCUCCUCCUUGGAGGUGCCAGGGAGAGGUGAAGAGAAGAGCAAACCAUGCAGCUGUGGACAGAACUCGCCUCGGGACCUCGGGCUGGGAGUGUCUCAGAGCAGUGCAUGCCAGGCCUCCACAUCCCACCAACACAUGCUGCAGCACUGUCUGACUUCAGCAUCUGAAUGCAUGAGAAGCGGAGUCUCACUGGGGCUGUAAUCUGCAUUCUCCAGUGACCGGCAGUGCCACGCAGCAUCCCCCUGCUCACUGGCCACUGUAUGUCUAUGGAGAAACAUCUGUCCAGACCCAUCGCCCAUCUCUGCACCUUUCUGCUCAUUUCUAAGAGACGAGUUCUCCCUAUGUUGCCCAAGCUGCUCUCAAAC
rnacentral:lncRNA from 1 species